rnacentral:tRNA from 1 species
GCGGGGUGUAGUUUAGUGGUAAAACCUCAGCCUUCAAGCUGAUGUCGUGGGUUCGAUCCCAUCACCCGCUCCA